GAUGAACGCUGGCGGCGUGCCUAAUACAUGCAAGUCGAGCGAACAGACGAGGAGCUUGCUCCUCUGACGUUAGCGGCGGACGGGUGAGUAACACGUGGAUAACCUACCUAUAAGACUGGGAUAACUUCGGGAAACCGGAGCUAAUACCGGAUAAUAUAUUGAACCGCAUGGUUCAAUAGUGAAAGACGGUUUUGCUGUCACUUAUAGAUGGAUCCGCGCCGCAUUAGCUAGUUGGUAAGGUAACGGUUUACCAAGGCAACGAUGCGUAGCCGACCUGAGAGGGUGAUCGGCCACACUGGAACUGAGACACGGUCCAGACUCCUACGGGAGGCAGCAGUAGGGAAUCUUCCGCAAUGGGCGAAAGCCUGACGGAGCAACGCCGCGUGAGUGAUGAAGGUCUUCGGAUCGUAAAACUCUGUUAUUAGGGAAGAACAAAUGUGUAAGUAACUAUGCACGUCUUGACGGUACCUAAUCAGAAAGCCACGGCUAACUACGU
rnacentral:rRNA from 1 species